CCACACCGAUCCAAGAUCGACCACAAUAUGUGAACUGUUGAACCGGGAACUAACAAAUUUCGGCUCCGGCUGGGAUGCGUUGGAACCUUGUUCUUUUUAAACCACGAAAUUGAACUUUGCAUUCGGAACUAAACUGUUGUGCUCGAGUUCGUCUUGACAUAACGACUUAGAAAAUAAAAUA
rnacentral:misc_RNA from 1 species